rnacentral:miRNA from 1 species
GGCGACCCAUACUUGGUUUCAGU